UGUCGUCCAUUGCCCCUUUUCUAUUGCACUACUGGGUAAAGAGAUGAGCAGUGCAAUAUUAAAAGGGCAUUGGCUGAUG
rnacentral:pre_miRNA from 1 species